GAAUGUAGAAUGGUGGUUUUCAGGGGCUGUAGGGGAGGAGAGAAAGAGGAGUCAUUGUUUAAUGGGUAUAGAAUUUUACUAAGAGAAGAUGAA